UUUUUUGAUAUUUAAUGAUGUAGCUUCUAAAUUUGGUAGUUCUGUCUUUGAGUGUGAACUUAAAAAUUAUGAAGAUGCGGCUGGGCGCGGGGGCUCACACCUGUCAUCCAGGCACUUUGGGAGGCCGAGGCAUGAGCCACUGCAUCUGGCAGCAACAUAUAUUUCAAAAGAGUAGCCUGGCCACUAGGAUCUACCUACCUACAUUUUUGGUGCAAACUAUUACUUUGGGGACAUCUUUCUUUUUUCCUUUUCUUUUUUUUUUUUUUAAUUUACAGAUGGGGUCUUGUUAUGUUUCCCAAGAGGCUCAAGUGCAGUGGCUAUUCACAGGCAUGAUCAUAGCACACUAUAGCCUUGAACUCCUGGCCUCAAGUGAUCUUCCCACAUAGCUGAGACAACAGGUACAUGCCACUGUGCCCAGCAGGACAUUUU
rnacentral:lncRNA from 1 species